GCCCGUUUGCGCCGAUGGUACUGCACCUCGUGGGAGAGUAGGACAUCGCCUUUU
rnacentral:rRNA from 1 species